rnacentral:rRNA from 1 species
AAUAGAUACCCGGGUAGUCCACGCCGUAAACGAUGAGUGCUAAGUGUUAGAGGGUUUCCGCCCUUUAGUGCUGCAGCUAACGCAUUAAGCACUCCGCCUGGGGAGUACGGCCGCAAGGCUGAAACUCAAAGGGAUUGACGGGGGCCCGCACAAGCGGUGGAGCAUGUGGUUUAAUUCGAAGCAACGCGAAGAACCUUACCAGGUCUUGACAUCCUCUGACACUCCUAGAGAUAGGACGUUCCCCUUCGGGGGACAGAGUGACAGGUGGUGCAUGGUUGUCGUCAGCUCGUGUCGUGAGAUGUUGGGUUAAGUCCCGCAACGAGCGCAACCCUUGAUCUUAGUUGCCAGCAUUCAGUUGGGCACUCUAAGGUGACUGCCGGUGACAAACCGGAGGAAGGUGGGGAUGACGUCAAAUCAUCAUGCCCCUUAUGACCUGGGCUACACACGUGCUACAAUGGAUGGUACAAAGGGGCAGCGAAGCCGCGAGGCUAAGCCAAUCCCAUAAAACCAUUCUCAGUUCGGAUUGCG